rnacentral:rRNA from 1 species
UUCGCCCUUAGAGUUUGAUCCUGGCUCAGGACGAACGCUGGCGGCGCGCCUAACACAUGCAAGUCGAACGAGCGAGAGAGAGCUUGCUUUCUCGAGCGAGUGGCGAACGGGUGAGUAACGCGUGAGGAACCUGCCUCAAAGAGGGGGACAACAGUUGGAAACGACUGCUAAUACCGCAUAAGCCCACGGGUCGGCAUCGACCAGAGGGAAAAGGAGCAAUCCGCUUUGAGAUGGCCUCGCGUCCGAUUAGCUAGUUGGUGAGGUAACGGCCCACCAAGGCAACGAUCGGUAGCCGGACUGAGAGGUUGAACGGCCACAUUGGGACUGAGACACGGCCCAGACUCCUACGGGAGGCAGCAGUGGGGAAUAUUGCACAAUGGGGGAAACCCUGAUGCAGCGACGCCGCGUGGAGGAAGAAGGUCUUCGGAUUGUAAACUCCUGUUGUUGGGGAAGAUAAUGACGGUACCCAACAAGGAAGUGACGGCUAACUACGUACCAGCAGCCGCGGUAAAACGUAGGUCACAAGCGUUGUCCGGAAUUACUGGGUGUAAAGGGAGCGCAGGCGGGAAGACAAGUUGGAAGUGAAAUCUAUGGGCUCAACCCAUAAACUGCUUUCAAAACUGUUUUUCUUGAGUAGUGCAGAGGUAGGCGGAAUUCCCGGUGUAGCGGUGGAAUGCGUAGAUAUCGGGAGGAACACCAGUGGCGAAGGCGGCCUACUGGGCACCAACUGACGCUGAGGCUCGAAAGUGUGGGUAGCAAACAGGAUUAGAUACCCUGGUAGUCCACACCGUAAACGAUGAUUACUAGGUGUUGGAGGAUUGACCCCUUCAGUGCCGCAGUUAACACAAUAAGUAAUCCACCUGGGGAGUACGACCGCAAGGUUGAAACUCAAAGGAAUUGACGGGGGCCCGCACAAGCAGUGGAGUAUGUGGUUUAAUUCGACGCAACGCGAAGAACCUUACCAAGUCUUGACAUCCCUUGACAGGCAUAGAAAUAUGUUUUCUCUUCGGAGCAAGGAGACAGGUGGUGCAUGGUUGUCGUCAGCUCGUGUCGUGAGAUGUUGGGUUAAGUCCCGCAACGAGCGCAACCCUUAUGGUCAGUUACUACGCAAGAGGACUCUGGCCAGACUGCCGUUGACAAAACGGAGGAAGGUGGGGAUGACGUCAAAUCAUCAUGCCCUUUAUGACUUGGGCUACACACGUACUACAAUGGCGUUAAACAAAGAGAAGCGAGACCGCGAGGUGGAGCAAAACUCAGAAACAACGUCCCAGUUCGGACUGCAGGCUGCAACUCGCCUGCACGAAGUCGGAAUUGCUAGUAAUCGUGGAUCAGCAUGCCACGGUGAAUACGUUCCCGGGCCUUGUACACACCGCCCGUCA